rnacentral:tRNA from 1 species
UCGUGGUCUAGUGGCUAGGAUAUUGACACAGAGGGCCCGGGUUCGAUUCCCGGCAAAA